rnacentral:rRNA from 1 species
UACGUAGGGAGCGAGCGUUGUCCGGAGUUACUGGGCGUAAAGCGCACGCAGGCGGUCUGUCGCGUUCGUGCCGACAGCGACUCGCCUAACGAGUCGAGGAGUACGGAAACGGGCAGACUUGAGGGCCACAGAGGGACACGGAACUCCGGGUGGAGUGGUGAAAUGCGUAGAGAUCCGGAAGAACACCAAAGGCGAAGGCAGUGUCCUGGGUGGCACCUGACGCUCAGAGGCGACAGCUAGGGGAGCGAACGGG